UAGGAGGUUCUACAACAUUAGA
rnacentral:siRNA from 1 species